AGGACGAACGCUGGCGGCGUGCUUAACACAUGCAAGUCGAACGAGGUCCAUCCUUCGGGAGAAGACCUAGUGGCGAACGGGUGAGUAUCACGUGAGCAACCUGUCCCAAAGUCCGGGAUAAGCCAGGGAAACUUGGUCUAAUACCGGAUGCCCUUGCCGAGUCUUAUGUCUUGGUAAGGAAGUUUUUCGCUUUGGGAGGGGCUCGCGGCCUAUCAGCUUGUUGGUGGGGUAAUGGCCUACCAAGGCUUCGACGGGUAGCUGGUCUGAGAGGAUGAUCAGCCACACUGGAACUGAGACACGGUCCAGACUCCUACGGGAGGCAGCAGUGGGGAAUCUUGCGCAAUGGGCGAAAGCCUGACGCAGCAACGCCGCGUGAGGGAUGAAGGCUCUCGGGUUGUAAACCUCUUCAGUAGGAACGAAUGACGGUACCUACAGAAGAAGCUCCGGCCAACUACGCGCCAGCACGCCGC
rnacentral:rRNA from 1 species